rnacentral:lncRNA from 1 species
CGGAGAGGGCGCUCCUUUUACUCACGGCAGCAACACGUCUGGCUCCGCGGGCCGCGCCUAGGCCUACAGGCCUUUCAGGGCCAAGUCCUCCAGCGGCGGGUCGGUGGCGUGCGUGGCGGCAGAAGCAGCGGCAGCGGCGACUGCUCCGGAAUCCCAAGCCCUCCGGCUUGUUUUGGCGUCUCCCGGGUUGCGGGGCUUUUAGCUGCGCCUGGCCCAGGACUCACAGCUAAACCGUCUCAGCGCCUCACCCAGCCGCCUGGGCCUCUUCCGCUCCCUUGUCGGGCCUAGCCCCGCCUCCCCGCUUCCGCCCCUCAGUGCGCCUGCGCACUGGUUCCGCGCUGACUCCUGGGGCUUCUCCCUAAUGCACUAGGGCUUCUUAACGCGCUGCUGCUUUGAGAGCGAUUGACUUUAUGAAAACGAACGGGAUGAACUAAGCUGACUUAGUGCUUCACAGGACCCAUGACUGGGAGGCCUGAGGAAACUUGCAGUUAUGGCGAAAGAUGAAGGGGAAACACGGACCUUCUUCACAUGGUGGCAAGAGGGAGAGAGAGCGAAAGGGUCCUCUGAAGGACAGUCAAGCAUGCAUCAUAUUUUCUGUACUGAUUUCUGCUCCCAGUUUUUCGCAUUAAAGAAAUAUACCAGAAAUGCAGUAUGUUAA